UCCUCACUCCCAGCACGAAGCCAAAGCAGCCCUGAGGCCACAUUCCCUACAAACUGGGGUCAGGAAUCGAGGUGCCUUCCCCAGCAUGGGAAACUCAAGCAAAUUGCAAAAGGAGUCAUUUAAGUAUGGUUAAGAUGUUUGUGUGGGAAAUCAAAUGUUCUGUUCCUAUCAAGCCACCGAUGUCCCCAGACUGGACUGGAAGAAUUGCUUUAACAUUUUCCACGAGACCUAGAAGCUGGUUUGAACUGUCUGCAUUUCCGAAGUCCUAUGGAGUCUCAGCUGGGCAUGGCUACUAAUAAACCAUCUGGAUGUCCCGGAACUUAGAAUCAGUGGUGAAGGAGCCUCCGUAGACCUCCACUGCCCACAGCGGUAAAUCAGCCAUUGUAGAAGAUAACCUCCCCUUCCCCUGUCCACUGUCCUGGAUUCUGAACAAUAGAGACCAGUGUGGAACACCAACAAGCAACAAAACUGCCUUCUCCAGUGGUCUAGUAGACUGCGGACAGUGACAAAUUCCUUCUCAUGUGCCACAAAUUCAUUCCACUUUUCUGUGUCACUCCUUCUCUUAUAACAAGAAUGGCUUUGCUGAAUGA